AGUGAUACACAGGGGAGGUGGUGUGUAAGCAAUAACAAAGGUAUAUAAAUAUGCAAUUGUUAUUGCUUACACACCACCUCCCCUGUGUAUCACU